GAUGAACGCUGGCGGCGUGCCUAAUACAUGCAAGUCGAGCGAACGGACGAGAAGCUUGCGUCUCUGAUGUUAGCGGCGGACGGGUGAGUAACACGUGGAUAACCUACCUAUAAGACAGGGAUAACUUCGAGAAACCGGAGCUAAUACCGGAAAAUAUUUUGACCCGCAUGGUUCAAAAGUGAAAGACGGGCUUGCUGUCACUUAUAGACGGAUCCGCGCUGCAUUAGCUAGUUGGUAAGGCAACGGCUUACCAAGGAAACGAUGCAUAGCCGACCUGAGAGGGUGAUCGGCCACACUGGAACUGAGACACGGUCCAGACUCCUACGGGAGGCAGCAGUAGGGAAUCUUCCGCAAUGGGCGAAAGCCUGACUGAGCAACGCCGCGUGAGUGAUGAAGGUCUUCGGAUCGUAAAACUCUGUUAUUAUGGAAGUACAUAUGUGUAAGUAACUGUGCACAUCUUGACGGUACCUAAUCAGAAAGCCCCGGCUAACUACGUG
rnacentral:rRNA from 1 species